UCGGCACACGUGAAUUGAUGGGUACUUCUUAUAUGUCCUUAAGGAAUAUAGACAUUUCUAUACUCUUAUAUAUUCGUCACAUUGCAUACAUUAAAGGGUUUUGAUAUAUUAAAUAAAAUAUAUAUAGACAUUUGUAUACCCUUAGCCUUAAUUAGUUGUGAAGUUAAUUCUUGCAAUGUGAUUAACCAUUAACCCAAACAAAAAAAAAACAUACAACUCUAAGAAGUAUUCUAAUCUACAUUGUAACGUUCGACGUCUUUAAUAAUUGAUUUGUACUCGAGUAAAAUCAAUGUGACAAAAAAAGAAGACAUCCAUCAUAUAAGAUUUUGAUCUAAC
rnacentral:lncRNA from 1 species